UAGGGAAUCUUCCGCAAUGGACGAAAGUCUGACGGAGCAACGCCGCGUGAGUGAUGAAGGUUUUUGGAUCGUAAAGCUCUGUUGUUAGGGAAGAACAAGUGCCGUUCAAAUAGGGCGGCACCUUGACGGUACCUAACCAGAAAGCCACGGCUAACUACGUGCCAGCAGCCGCGGUAAUACGUAGGUGGCAAGCGUUGUCCGGAAUUAUUGGGCGUAAAGGGCUCGCAGGCGGUUUCUUAAGUCUGAUGUGAAAGCCCCCGGCUCAACCGGGGAGGGUCAUUGGAAACUGGGGAACUUGAGUGCAGAAGAGGAGAGUGGAAUUCCACGUGUAGCGGUGAAAUGCGUAGAGAUGUGGAGGAACACCAGUGGCGAAGGCGACUCUCUGGUCUGUAACUGACGCUGAGGAGCGAAAGCGUGGGGAGCGAACA
rnacentral:rRNA from 1 species